rnacentral:tRNA from 1 species
GGGCGGUUAGCUCAGCUGGGAGAGCGCCUGCCUUACAAGCAGGAGGUCGCGUGUUCGAGCCACGCACCGCCCA